GUUUCUAUGACUUUCGUCAGACAUUCGAUCUGUUCAGAUUGUUUUAAAACCAAGUCCUCAAGGAUCUUGAUACGCUUAUUGUGGACAUUACUUUGAUUAGAGGGAUUUUGUAAGUUGAAAACAGGUCAUAUUCAUCUAUCAAUUGAUUAAUUGAUUGAAAGGCUAAGAAAUUAGUAAACCAAUCCUUGUUUUCCCAAUUUGUUAAGAGGGGUUCAGUGGUCACAUUGAAAAAUGAUUUACUCCAUGAGAGUUUUUCUGAACUCUUGUUAUUGCUCAGGGUGACAAGCUAGCUGACAGUGAACUUGAAAAAUGUGAGUGUGAGGUUCAACUUACACCGGGAUAUUGCUGAAUAACAUCCCAAUUGUCUUGGGAGACAUUAACCAACAUUAAUCCGCCGCCUUUGGAUGCCAGACCCAGAAUGUUGGUCAGAGUCGGAUGCCAUAAAUAAGCAAAUAUGAAGAAACACUGGAAUCACUGGGAAAAAAUAGAUCUGAAACAGAUUACCAUAGAAAUCAUCAAAAUUCUUAUGAUUUGACUACUGUUAAGUAGCAAUCAUGUCCAUCAGACCUUCUAUUCCUAUCAAAUGGGACAAGCACUGUGCAGUUGCACUGAGACUUCACACUUUUUCAGGAAUAAAAACUACAAUCUGUGAAGUAUGCUACACUGAAGGCAGCGUUUGUCAUUAGCACAAAUUGGGCUUCAGAGAAAGCUGCUAAUUGGUGGAGAUUUGUUCACAACCCAACCCUUGGUCCACCUCCAUCAUAGACUUAAAAAUCAACGAAAAAGCUGGACUUCAUAUUCACCUUAUGUCCUUGAAAUAUUUUAUUGUUCAAAUCUUAGAUCAAAUUUUCAAGCAAAUCGGUUCUUUCAAAUGAGAACCUGACUUUUGUUUAUAUUUCUCUUCGUAAUUGUUACCAACCAACUUUACAUUAGUAAAUUCAUGGAAAUGUAAA